rnacentral:lncRNA from 1 species
AUGACCUUUGGCCACUCGUGACCUUUGGCCACUCGUGCCUCUUGGGACAUGCCCAACACUCAAAAUAAAACAUCCAUCAUAUAUAUAUAAAGCCGCGUAAAGCGGUAAGGGAUUCAAAGCCGCCAACAGCCAGUCCCGAUAAGCAAUAAAAACGGCCAAAACGGGCCCGUACAAUCUCUCUAAAUAAAGGCCACACUCGGCCACAAACAUAAAACGGAAAGACAAGCAUCUUUCUUUAACCACUCCACCUCUCA